UACGGGGGGGGUAAGCGUUGUUCGGAAUUACUGGGCGUAAAGCGUGCGCAGGCGGCGCCGCAAGUCAGGCGUGAAAUCCCCGAGCUUAACUUGGGAAUGGCGCUUGAAACUACGGUGCUGGAGUGUGGCAGAGGGAGGUGGAAUUCCACGUGUAGCGGUGAAAUGCGUAGAGAUGUGGAGGAACACCGAUGGCGAAGGCAGCCUCCUGGGCCAACACUGACGCUCAUGCACGAAAGCGUGGGGAGCAAACAGG
rnacentral:rRNA from 1 species